AGUGAACGCUGGCGGUAGGCCUAACACAUGCAAGUCGAACGGCAGCACAGUAAGAGCUUGCUCUUACGGGUGGCGAGUGGCGGACGGGUGAGGAAUACAUCGGAAUCUACUUUUUCGUGGGGGAUAACGUAGGGAAACUUACGCUAAUACCGCAUACGACCUACGGGUGAAAGCAGGGGAUCUUCGGACCUUGCGCGAUUGAAUGAGCCGAUGUCGGAUUAGCUAGUUGGCGGGGUAAAGGCCCACCAAGGCGACGAUCCGUAGCUGGUCUGAGAGGAUGAUCGGCCACACUGGAACUGAGACACGGUCCAGACUCCUACGGGGGGCAGCAGUGGGGAAUAUUGGACAAUGGGCGCAAGCCUGAUCCAGCCAUACCGCGUGGGUGAAGAAGGCCUUCGGGUUGUAAAGCCCUUUUGUUGGGAAAGAAAAGCAGCAGGUUAAUACCCCGCUGUUCUGACGGUACCCAAAGAAUAAGCACCGGCUAACUUCGUG
rnacentral:rRNA from 1 species